ACACUUUUACCUGUUGUCAUAAAUGUAAAGGGAAGGGUAAACUCCUUUACAAUCCCUCCUGUCCAGAGGAAAAAUCCUCUCACCUGUAAAGGGUUAAGAUGCUAAAGGUAACCUCGCUGGCACCUGACCAAAAUGACCAAUGAGGAGAGA